UACGUAGGGGGCAAGCGUUGUCCGGAUUUAUUGGGCGUAAAGAGCGUGUAGGCGGCCAUGCAGGUCAGCUGUGAAAACUCGAGGCUCAACCUCGAGACGCCGGUUGAAACCGUAUGGCUAGAGUCCGGAAGAGGAGAGUGGAAUUCCCGGUGUAGCGGUGAAAUGCGCAGAUAUCGGGAAGAACACCUAUGGCGAAGGCAGCUCUCUGGGACGGUACUGACGCUGAGACGCGAAAGCGUGGGGAGCGAACAGG
rnacentral:rRNA from 1 species